ensembl:lncRNA
AUUUUGAAGGCGGCGGUGGGAGGGACUGAGGGGCUGAUGUGCUCAGGUGCUUCAUGCUGAGCUUUCGCCUUCCUCUCUAGGGCUGCUGAUGCUGCGGCCCCAGUCCUCCAAAAGCGUAAAACGAAGCCCAUAACGCGGGGCUGGUGGGGAAAACCAGUGCUAUGUCACGCUUUUAAUUCUCUAAAGCGGCCUUGAAGCAGUACCACGCUGAUACAAGGGCUAUGGCACUGUGGCCUUACAGCUCUGACAACACUUAAAGAACCUCCAAGAAAGACAGCUUGGCUCUUCAGGUUUUGGCACCUAGCCUGAUUGACCUCUUCCUAUUGCAAUGUCUGAACGAUUCCCCAAGUUUUGUUCUGAGAUGGAUGCAGGAUUUUAGCACCAGCGCCUCAGGAGCCUCCACAGAAUGCACUUCCAUUGCUUCGGAGGGUCUCAGGUUCAGCUACUCCAUUACAGCUGUCGUCUGGACACACAGCCACUGAUGUCUAUGCUCUGAGCCCAGUGGUCGAGCUGUUUGGCAGCCAGCAUAACAGUACAUUUACCCAGCCAGAACUUCUUCAGCUUGCUAAUGAGAGCAGUGUCACUGAAGUCAAGCCUUAGGCUACAUUCCUCAUCAAAGACAGAGAGACCCUGUUGACAUUUUCCUGAUUGAACUCAAAAUUAUUCUCCAAAGGAUUGGGGUUUGAUCCCUCAGGGGUUCUGGAGUCCUGUACGCUCUGUGUGCCGUGGGCCAGCCACCAAGCACUGCCACACUGACAGCAAACCAUAGAAGUCCUGAUGACAUUAGAAAUAAACUGCCUUAGAACCCUGAAGAUCUCAAUUAAAUUUGACGUCCCAGAGCAUCCUCAGGCCUUGCAGCAUCUGAAACACUGGGGCUGUGUGGUUGAAUCAACCUGCAGCAAGCCCGGUUGCCCCAACUUUAAGAAAAGCACAAGCCUGUGAUGCAAACCCUCAAACAAACCUCUAACCGUAGCACCCAGAAUAACUCUGCUCUGCUCACUGCUGGGAGACUAGGCCCUAGAAGGGAGUAUUUUUCCACCUUUCAAAUACCUGCCAUGGAGCAAGGCAUUGCCCCUAUUUCUCGCCGCAUAGGCACAGACAGCUCAUUUGUGCACUCUUUUCCUCCCCAGUGUGACUCCAAGCUUCUGGCUCAGACUGUUCCCCCCUGUGUCUAUGCUUUUGGUCUCUUGCCACCAUCCAAUUUACCUGGCAGCUUGCCACAUGUCUGCCCCGGUGCUGGAUUGUUUCUGUCUCCUUCUGACAUUGGCUCCUUGCCUGCAGAAUUGCUUUAAUUAAAAAGUU